rnacentral:lncRNA from 1 species
CUUCUCUGGGUCCUAAGCCCCGGGUCACAGCCAGGUGUGUGUGGGGAAGGACUCGGCCAGCUCCCCCGGCCCCCCGGCCUGUGGUCCCGGCUAUGCACCCAGCUUUCCUGCCUUCACCCCGACUUCUGCGCUUGUUCCUGGUGCCUGCACGUGCCUGCCUCUGGCUUCGGGUCCCAGGGCUCUCGUGUUCGCGCCUGUCGGGAUCGACCCACUGCUCCGAGCUCUUCAGGCUUCCUGCCCCCGCCCGGGAGCCGGGGAGCCGUUUGCUUUGCUGCCGCGCGGCUCUCACUGGCCCCCGCAGCACCCGAGGCUCGGACGGGCUCAGGCCCCCAACCCUGCUGACGAUGGAAGCCCGCGGUCGUCGGUCGUCGUGAGCGCAGACGCACUUUGAGGAGCAGGAUGCGUUUGCUUUGGUCUGCGGGUAAGAAGCGGGGCCCAGUGCCGGCCGCGGAGGCGGUGCAGGCUCUGCGUCGGGGCCUGCGGGCCUUCAGCUACUGCGGCGCCCUGUGGUCACCCUACUCGUCCCGCUUCCUUCAUUUAAUCCUUUCGGACCUGCCAACAAACUGUCUGAUAUUUGAGGCGGGACUUGAAACACACACAAGGAGCUCGAGGAAACACCACAGGGGCCUGGCCGCCCGCAGCACUGACGGGCCACCCCGCACCAGCCCUCCUGUGGAGCGGCGCGGACCGGAGGUCGCCGCCCAGUGGGCCGCACAGUCCCACAUCCAAUACACGCGCCUCACGCGUCCUGCGGAGCGAAUGCUGCAGCUCAGUCGCCAACAGGCAAACGUUCCCAGUCGAGUGCCCGUGGUCCCGGCAAGGACCCCAAGACGCGCUUGUAAAACACCCAUGUACGAAUCGUCAGGGGAACUCAGGGCAGCAGUGCUGUGGUUUCAAUGUGACUUGGAUGGUCCCACCCUCCUCCCGAUCACAGAGAGCCCCUCCUGCAAGUACCCAGGUCUUGGUCUUGUUCCAGGGGAAGGAACUGUAUUCGCCCUACACCACUUGCUCCAAAGGGUCUUGCAGGGGCCUUCGUGUAGCCAAGAAGGUACCAGUCACUGAAGACCGUGGCUGGUGUGCUCAAUACAGGCUAGCCUCUGCACAUCAGCAAGCCGACCUUAGCAUGGUAUUUAUAGGAGUGGUGCUGAUAGUCAUAAUGAAUAAUCGUUGCUGCUCUCAUAAUUGCAUUUUUUGUUGAUUUCUCCAAUUGUUUAAGGCCAUUUAUAAAAAGCCAAUUGGACUUUAAACCCCACCACUGCCAUUUUUCAUGGUAAUACUGUACUUUCUCAUCACUCCUUUAAAAACUGUACUCAGCACAUUCUGUAGGCCGAGGAAAUAAACUUCUCAUCUGUAGCA